GGAACCCUCAUGAAUGAGAUUAGAGACACAGGAGACAUAAUCUUUCUUUCUCUUUCCAUCUUGUAUGGAUAUGACAAGAAAAUGGCUAUGCGACCCAGGAGGAUAGCCUUCAUGAAGAACCUCACCAUGCUGGUACCUUGAUCUUGGAUUUCCAGCCUCCAGACUGCUGGAAUGAAGAGGCGCAGUCUCAGCUCAUUGCAACCCCUGCCUCCCACGUUCAAGCGAUUCUCCUGCCUCAGCUUCCGGAGUAGCUGGGAUUACAGGCACCUGCCACGACACCUGGCUAAUUUUUGUAUUUUUUAGUAGAGAUGGAGUUUCACCAUGUUGGCCAGGCUGGUGUCAAACUCCUGAUCUCAGGUACAUCAUACACAAUAGAACUGCUGUCCCCCAAAGCAAGCCAUAAAAUCUAGGAAAACUAUCUGACUCUCUCUUCUCCUCCCUGAAGACCCUUACAUGACAAGUGUCGUGCCCUAUACCCAGAAGAAGAAAUGCUACACAGAGAGGCCAAGAAAAAUCUGAACACACAGGACUUGUUGGAAUUCCCCUCAAGUUAUUAUCAUUACAUCAUGCCUUUUUUGUCCAGUCAUAUUUCUACACAGCUGUCCAUUCUUCAUUGAACCUAAGCUUAAGAAUAUGCACUUCUCCUUGGAUCUCUGGGUCUUCAUUUCUGAGUGCUCCCGUGUGAUGUAAAAUUUUGAUUAAAUAAAUUUUUUCUUGAUAA